rnacentral:rRNA from 1 species
UACGUAGGUGGCAAGCGUUGUCCGGAUUUAUUGGGUUUAAAGGGUGCGUAGGCGGUCAUGUAAGUCAGUGCUGAAAUAUCCCGGCUUAACCGGGAGGGUGGCAUUGAUACUGUAUGACUUGAGUAAAGUUGAGGUUGGCGGAAUUGACGGUGUAGCGGUGAAAUGCUUAGAUAUCGUCAAGAACACCUAUUGCGAAGGCAGCUAAC